ACUCUUGGUACAUAGCCUGAUAAUUCAAUUUUACUUACAUUUUUUUUUUUGUCCAAGAGAUCUAUACAGAUCAGCCUGAUUUGUCCAUCUCGAAUCAUUGAAUGUGACUGCUUUUUCAACAGCAGUUUUGGACAAUGAAAUCCUGCUUAUCCGCGCACCACUUCAAUUUAUUGUAAAUCUGCUGCCUCCACAAAUACUUUAUCUGGGCAUUUUAACUUACCCCUUAAAUUAACCCAGGGUAUGUUAUAGGUGUAUUCACUUUAACUGUAUAUAAACCAUGACAGAUCUUAAAGGGACAAUAUUGUCACAAGAACCAG